GAGAGAAGAGAGGAAAAUUGAAGAGCAUUUCUGAUUGAAAUGAAUUAAUGACCGUGUCUCGAAGGUUCCCCAUCUAACUCUGUAUAUACAAUUAAAAUGAAAAUUGUAAAGUGUAGUGUGUGUAAUUACAAUUGUGUCCUUUUCUUCUAUACAGAAUUAUACACUCAAAUAAAUAUACAAAUGCCCUUGGGCUCUUGGAUUGUGCAGCUAACUUGGGCCAGCAGUUGUAGUAUUGGGCUGGUGCCAAUGCUGAAGUCCAACA
rnacentral:lncRNA from 1 species